rnacentral:lncRNA from 10 species
GCAAGUUCCAGAAGGCAGAAUUCUAGCAGGGCUCUCCUGCUAUUCAGAAAGUUACAACUGUGCCCUCUCCAGCAAAGUCUGGAUCUCAGCCAGCCCUAAGAGUGUGUCUGUGUCUUGGAGGAGCUCUUUUUGAGAUGCUGUAUCUCAGCCCUAGGGUGCAAGCCCAGAGGCAGUCUAUACCCCAACUCAACUGGCUGGUCCUCAAUGCUGCCUGCUUCCGUGCCCAACUUAGAACUACACAUCUGCUGCCUCUUGGUAACAUGUCAUUAUAAGGCUUCUUCAUCAGCCCUAACCCUGCCAACCACUCCUGCCUCACUGAAUGUGCCAACGGAUUGCUCAGCUCCAACCAAGGAAAAGAAGAAGGAAGUUGGAUACUUUAUACCCUCUACAUUGUCCAUUAGCAACACAACCUAGAGCUAGGAUGGAGAAAGAAAAUGCCAAAAUGCUAAUGAAAAAUGUUCAGAUGUAUCACAUAUUAAGCAUACAUGAUCUCAAAUAUUUUGCCUGAUUUAUGCUAUGCAUGCUAUUUUCCAUGUUGUGUAGGCUCUGAUGCUAGUCUACAUUUACAGAAAUCUCCAUCAGCUGUACAAAUGGCAAUUUAAAUACAUUUAACUAUGUGCUAAUAAUCUCAUAAUACAAUUUAUCAUGUAUGAUUGGCAGAAGAAAUUAUUUGGGGCAAAAGCUAUGAUUGUAUUGUUGUAAGUUAUUAUGAAUGCUGGGCAGUGUAGGGCAUGGCACUUGCUACCACCUCCCAGAAAUGUGUAAGGGCUGUUGAAGGUGCCUUGUUCUUCUUUCUUCUUCAAUAUAAGCAAAGCUAUUUAUAUCAUAAAGCUGAAACUUGAAAUUCCACCCUUGCCUAUUCUUUUUCCUCAGAAAGAUGUCUUUCUUUCUAAGAAUAUAUUGCACUUAAGGAUAGGAGGUGUCUCCUUUGGACGUCUAUGUGCCAAAUAUGUGUUGUAAAUUACUUUUGUUUCUCUUAAUAACCAGGGGUGAAGUUCUCAACAGUAUUUGCUGAGGAUGGUACAAGAUUUAAGAAGAAAACAUAUUUUUACAUCUUUCCCUUUGGAGUGCAGUGGUGCUAUCUCAAUUCACUGCAAGCUCCGCCUCCCGGGUUCACGCCAUUCUCCUGCCUCAGCCUCCCGAGUAGCUGGGACUACAGGCGCUCGCCACGACGCCGGCUUAUUUUUUUGUAUUUUUAGUAGAGACGGGGUUUCGCCGUGUUAGCCAGGAUGGUCUCAAUCUCCUGACCUCGUGAUCCGCCCGCCUCGGCCUCCCAAAGUGCUGGGAUUACAGGCUUGAGCCACCGCACCCAGCCUCCAUUUCUUCAUUUUAGAAUGAUACUAUCAGGGAAAUAAAGAUGAAACGUAGAAACUUUGGUGAAUAAUUAAGAUCAUACACACAAGCAUAUCCAUGAAGUAAAAUAUUUUCUGCAGACCUCCCCUCACCUUUCCAAAUCAUAGUCAUAAAAUACUGAAAAUCUUAAGAAUGUUAAAAUGAUAUGAUGACCAGAGGCCUCGAAGUAAAUGGCCACUUUAUGGAAGACAUUACAUAAUUCUGUUGACAAAAUUCAUAUUUAUAUGUUCGUAGUCUUUGAUGACUGAAUAAUUACAUUGAAGUAGCUUCAUCUUACAGUGUAGUGUUGUCUUUUUAACUAUUAUUAAGAAUCUAUUUCAAGGAAAUAUAUGAAUGAUUCCACAUCCUCACAUUCAUUGAAUACUAUUUUUCUUUUUGGUAGUUAAAUCUUUUCAAACAAACUGAGUCCUCAGAACAGGAAUGACAAUUAUCAUGAGUUUGUUAUUCUAAUGCUUGACUUUUCUUUUCUUUUCUUUUCUUUUUGGUUCUGAAAACCCAUUGACUUUCUGAAUUGAAAAACCUAGCUCCGGAGAAUGUAUCAUUGAACUUAAAUAAAUUUGUGUAAAUAAUUAUAAACAUAAUGGUAAAUUUUGGCCAUUGUCUAUUAUAAUACCUACAAACCAUUAUUUUUUUGUUCAAUACUUGGGCAGGUAGGGGAAUGCAUAUUGUAGAACUUUGUUAAUAGAGAAUCUUUCUGGAAUAGAUUGAUAAGUAUCCAAGAAGCACUUGGACAGCUUUAAACAAAAAUGGCUCCAGAUUAUAAAUGGAUUACUUGAUGGCAUCUAUACUCCAAUGGAUCAGUCUAGAAAUGUUCCAUUAGUCAAUUAAAAAGGAGACUUUGGAUUCAGUAAGGCAUUAUUACAGAUUGAUGGAAGGUGAUUAGAUAGGAAUAUCAUCAAUAGCUUUUACUUUAAAAGAUCAUAUUUUAUUUUGCUUUUUUUAAAAAAAAAUUUAUUUAUUUUGAGACCAGGUCUCACUCUGUCACCCAGGCUUCAGUGCACUGGGGUGAUCACAGCUCACUGAAGCCUUGGCUUCCCAGGCUAAAGCAAUCCUCCUACCUCAGCCUCCAGAGUAGCUGGGACCACAGGCGUGUGCCUUCGUGUCCGGCUAAUUUUUGUAUUUUUGAUAGAGACAGGGUUUCACCAUGUUGCCCAGGCUGGUCUCAAACUCCUGAGCUAAAGUGAUCCACACACCUCUGCCUCCCAAAGUGCUGGGAUUAGAAGCAUGAGGCACCGUGCCUGGCCUUUAUUUUGCUUUCUUUACUUACAACAAUAAUCCAAUAUAUUAGUGUAUAUACUAUAGUGUACAGCACUUUCAUAUAUAUUACUUCAUAUAAAUCUGCAUGAGCAUAUUUACAAUGGGAAAAGUAGACUAGAACCUUCAAAAAGUUAAAUUCAAAUGGAAGGAUUCACAAAGUAAUAUAAUAAUUUCUGCUUGCAAAAUAUGGUGGAAAAACUGUUUCUUAGGGUACAGCACAUCAAGACUAUAAGAAUAUCCACAAUAAUCUUCCAAUUUAAUAUAUUCUGCUAUUUUCAAUCUUUUCUUUUUUUAGUGGGCUCUUUUUGUUGUUCUUGACUUAUUGGUGGUGUAGGGGGGCACUAGUUUCAUUUCAGAUAAAAUGUAAAAUAUAUAUGAUUUUAUAAGAUAAAAUGGAUAAUUUUUCUUUGGAAUGACAGAAGAAUGAAC